rnacentral:rRNA from 1 species
CUCAGGACGAACGCUGGCGGCGCGCCUAACACAUGCAAGUCGAACGAGCGAGAGAGAGCUUGCUUUCUCAAGCGAGUGGCGAACGGGUGAGUAACGCGUGAGGAACCUGCCUCAAAGAGGGGGACAACAGUUGGAAACGACUGCUAAUACCGCAUAAGCCCACGACCCGGCAUCGGGUUGAGGGAAAAGGAGCAAUCCGCUUUGAGAUGGCCUCGCGUCCGAUUAGCUAGUUGGUGAGGUAAUGGCCCACCAAGGCAACGAUCGGUAGCCGGACUGAGAGGUUGAACGGCCACAUUGGGACUGAGACACGGCCCAGACUCCUACGGGAGGCAGCAGUGGGGAAUAUUGCACAAUGGGGGAAACCCUGAUGCAGCGACGCCGCGUGGAGGAAGAAGGUCUUCGGAUUGUAAACUCCUGUUGUUGAGGAAGAUAAUGACGGUACUCAACAAGGAAGUGACGGCUAACUACGUGCCAGCAGCCGCGGUAAAACGUAGGUCACAAGCGUUGUCCGGAAUUACUGGGUGUAAAGGGAGCGCAGGCGGGAAGACAAGUUGGAAGUGAAAUCUAUGGGCUCAACCCAUAAACUGCUUUCAAAACUGUUUUUCUUGAGUAGUGCAGAGGUAGGCGGAAUUCCCGGUGUAGCGGUGGAAUGCGUAGAUAUCGGGAGGAACACCAGUGGCGAAGGCGGCCUACUGGGCACCAACUGACGCUGAGGCUCGAAAGUGUGGGUAGCAAACAGGAUUAGAUACCCUGGUAGUCCACACCGUAAACGAUGAUUACUAGGUGUUGGAGGAUUGACCCCUUCAGUGCCGCAGUUAACACAAUAAGUAAUCCACCUGGGGAGUACGACCGCAAGGUUGAAACUCAAAGGAAUUGACGGAA